GGCGUGGUGGGCACCCGUUUCCUUGUGUAUGAGCUGGGGUAGAGUGGAGUGAGAUCUCGGGCUGCUCCUUAUCUGGGGGGCAGGCUGUACUUCAACCUCAGGGGUGCUGAGAGUGCAUGAGCUGACUGUGUGGUGCUCCAUCGAGGUAGAACUCGAGCCAGUGUCUAAUUUGGAGCCUGUCAUAUUUUGGGGGCUUAUGGGGCUCUCUGUUGAAUGGAUGAAGACUUCAGGGAAUCACCUAACUAUUAACUUGUGGUCUCUGGUAGUUUUAUUCUAAGGCUGUUAUGUCCUUGACCUGGUGAGCUUGGCUUGGUGACGUCACUGAAUUGGCACGGAGCCAUGUCCUGGAAGGCACACCUGCCUGGGUGGCACUUGGAGACUAAGACAUUAGUCUACAGCAGCAGCCCUCGUCCCUCCCUGGACUAAGGGGAAGUAGGCAGAAUUUUGGCUCUGAGAAAUCUCUAGAAUUCUGUUGCAGAGUCUUUAUAAUCUGCUGGGGGGUAGGCAGUGGGUGCUAUGGUUUGAGAGGUGGCCAAGGUGUGAUUACUUUGGGUUUGUGGUGCUCUGACUGAUCACAGUUGAAGAAUCUAGAAAUGAAUCCGUUUCAACCUGAGCUAGAGAGAGAGAGGGGCCAAUUCUAAACUGGGACUUCAUUUUGGGGGGGGGGGGUUUAAUCUCCUCAUCCACAAGCUGCCAAACUACCCAACUUGCUGCUUGAGGUGCAGGGCCUAACCCCAUGGUGCCUGGAUCCCAUUGCUGCCUCACAGGAGAGCUCCCCGUCCCGCGGGUGAUGUGGUACGGUCCCCCUUAGUCUAAGAGGCCUACCUCCAGGGAAGCAGAGGAACUCCAGCCCCUCCAGUGUAGCCCUGGGCCCUUCCUUCCGCCUCUUAGCGCCCUCGCGCCCUAUCACUUUGGCAGGGGUAAGGGGACAAGGGAAAGGGUAGAGAUGAAUGAAUUAAUUUCAGGAUUAUUGCUGUACAUGCAGCCAGCAGCCCCUGUAGUGGACCGUGUCUAUAAAUAUAAAGUCAUAAUAAUAAGGGGUUGCGUUUAUAAAGCACACUGAAGUCCUCAGAUAAAAGGCAGUUUAUUCCCGUUAUUGUUCUCAUCAUUAACAGGAGUCAGUGCCUAAAGUGGAAUUUAGCAAUUUCAGACAACAGAGAAAUUGCCUGUAGGAAAACAAACUCCGUGCUUCAGCAAGCAUUCCCUGGCGGACGAAGCCCUGGGUCCAAACUGGGAACAAAAGUGCUUCUGAUAGCAUUUGAAUCUGCAGCUCAGCGCUUUGUGGAGCUGGCUGCUGCCUCCUUUUUGUCCCCCAGAGGUCACUGUGGAAUACAGAUAUCAGGCAGAAAUGUGAUUACAAGCGAGUGCUAGAAGAGAGGCCUGCUAGCUCACCAAACUUCAUCUGUGAGCAGAUCCUCUGGGCCCCAGCUCCUGCGCUCAUAGCCCACAUAUGCCAUAGGUGGCGCUGUUGGCCAGGAGCUCUGUGACUAGUGGAGCAUUCUAGCACCCAAGGGCAGGGGUUGGGGACAUUUUUGAGAUGCUGUUGGAGGCAAGGUAGGAUGGGAGUGGUACCCUAGGAGGAGGGCUUCCCACAGAGGGGAAAAAAAUGGUAUUUUGGUGCUCACUUUGGAACUGAGUUUCUGAAUCCUAACCAGGCUCAGCCUGCCCCCUGCAGGUCCCUCUUUUAGGAAGUAGGCUGGAGAGGCCACCAAACUUAACCAGACCUUUGCUGUGCCUAAUGGAAUUUCUACCUUCCAACUGGAGAAAUAGUCAAUGCCUGCACUUCCAGCCAUCCAACAAAACACAAGUGUUUUAUAUGAGCAGGGUUUAAUUUUUUAGAAUACUUUUAGAAUCUCUUUCUUGAUCAUCACACCAUCCAGAGGUGGACAUGAAGCCUAUUUAUUCUUAUCUCUGUAUUAAUGGUUGUAGAAAUGCAUAUAAAAGUCAGCACAAAGUGACCUAUGCAGAGAGUGUGGCCUUCUCGCUCAGGGCCUAUGCAUUUUCAGUGCUUCCACCUUUCUUCACCUGGAGGUGUGCCCUCGUUUUAAGAUUCUAGAAUGUGGCUCCUGACCACAGCUACACAUAGUUGCCUUGUUGGUAUCUGCCUGGCCCCUGCAGAACUGAAUGUUGCUUGAAGAAGUUGAUUCCAGUGUCUUGUGGUAGACUAGUCCUUGGCCCCGGGUAUUAAUAACAUGAAUCGGGAAGGAAGAAACCAUUUCUACAGGAUCCUGGUGUGGCACCAUCUGGUCCUGAUAAGCAUGUUUGUGUAAGGAAGGUUCCGUGUCUCAGCCUGGAAACUGGCAGCUGUAAGUGGAAAGAUAGAGUAUUGCUGAACUAGGGAGACUGGCUUAGAUCUAGCCUCUGCUAGGCGUCAACGGUAGAUUCUGGCCAAGUUCUCCUCACUCGUGAGAAGCAUGCUUACACUACCUCACGAUGGUUUGAGGAACCUGACAUAGAUACUUUAACUGCAGGCUUUAUUAGUGAGCAUUACUAGACGACAGGACUCCAUGCUCAGACAGCUUCCAGACAGACUCGGUGGGACUCCCUUUGGUAGGACUGAGAACCUUGAGUGUGAGCCUGUUCAUGGGGACUCUAUGGGUCCCCGGAAGGAACUGUGUCGUUUGCCUAGUGCCUGAGGUCUAAGCUUUACCUGCUGCCACUCUCAGGGCAAGACUGGCUGGAGACCUCUCUGGAUACCUGCCAAGCCAGUGUGCAGGCUAGAGGAGUGUGGGGCAGGGUCUGUGCGACUGUCCACAGCAGUCUUGGCCCUGCCUCAGCUCUCCUUCUGGGGCUUCCACCGAGCCUAAUCUGUACCCCUUGUCCAUUCACAGUGCAGGGGGUGGCAGGGAAUUGGGCAGGGGUCGCAGGGAAUUGGGCAGGGAGUUGCAGGGAAUUGGGCAGGGGAUACAAGCGGAGUGGGACAGAAAGGCACUCUGAGUUUUCCAGAAGCACAGUGGGUUCCUCUCAUCCAGGUCCUGGUGAAAAAUUCCAGUUCAGUUAUUGUGGUGGCAGACUCUAAGUGUCUGCCACCUUUGCUGGCCAGACCAGGGCCCCAGGAAAAGCCCUCACUCAGCCUGAUGGCUAGGAAGAGGACGAAGCAGGCAUUCCAGCCAUGCAGGCAGAUGGAUCGCCUUUCCCUGGGGCAGAGCUUUGGAAAAGAAAGCCACUCGCCUUACCAUUAGGAUCCCCAGCCCCCACUCCUUUUGAACUGUCAGUCUUUAAAUAAACAUUCUUUUCCUGCCUUGA